UACGUAGGGGGCAAGCGUUGUCCGGAUUUAUUGGGCGUAAAGAGCGUGUAGGCGGCCAAGCAGGUCAGCUGUGAAAACUCGAGGCUCAACCUCGAGACGUCGGUUGAAACCGUUUGGCUAGAGUCCGGAAGAGGAGAGUGGAAUUCCCCGGUGUAGCGGUGAAAUGCGCAGAUAUCGGGAAGAACACCCGUGGCGAAGGCGGCUCUCUGGGACGGUACUGACGCUGAUGUGCGAAAGCGUGGGGAGCAAACAGG
rnacentral:rRNA from 1 species